GAUGAACGCUGGCGGCGUGCCUAAUACAUGCAAGUCGAGCGAACAGACGAGGAGCUUGCUCCUCUGACGUUAGCGGCGGACGGGUGAGUAACACGUGGAUAACCUACCUAUAAGACUGGGAUAACUUCGGGAAACCGGAGCUAAUACCGGAUAAUAUAUUGAACCGCAUGGUUCAAUAGUGAAAGACGGUUUUGCUGUCACUUAUAGAUGGAUCCGCGCCGCAUUAGCUAGUUGGUAAGGUAACGGCUUACCAAGGCAACGAUGCGUAGCCGACCUGAGAGGGUGGACCGGCACACUGGAAACGAGGACCGGGCCCAGCCCCCUAGGGGAGGCAGAGUUGGGAAAUCUCCCGCAAGGGGCGAAAGCCGAAGGGGGCAAGGCCGGGUGGUUAUUAAGGGUCUUCGAAUGGUAAAACCCUUUAAUAAGGAAAGACAAAAGGGUUAAUAAACAAGGAACGUCUGACGGUAACCUAACAGGAAGGCCACGGCAACCUACGU
rnacentral:rRNA from 1 species